AUUACUCUAAUAGUUUAUAAAAACAUUGGUCUUG
rnacentral:tRNA from 1 species